CCUACGGGAGGCAGCAGUGGGGAAUAUUGCGCAAUGGGGGAAACCCUGACGCAGCAACGCCGCGUGAGUGAGGAAGGACUUCGGUCUGUAAAGCUCUGUUAAUGUGGAAAAAUGGUAGUUGGUCUAAUAGGCCGAUUAUUUGAUGGUACACAUAGAGGAAGCACCGGCUAACUUCGUGCCAGCAGCCGCGGUAAUACGAAGGGUGCAAGCGUUGUUCGGAUUUAUUGGGCGUAAAGCGCGCGUAGGCGGACCUGUAAGUCAGAUGUGAAAUCUCGGGGCUCAACCUCGAAACUGCGUCUGAAACUGCAGGUCUAGAAUCUCGGAGGGGGAAGGGGAAUUUCGCAUGUAGGGGUAAAAUCCGUAGAUAUGCGAAGGAACACCAGAGGCGAAGGCGCCUUCCUGGACGAGUAUUGACGCUGAGGCGCGAAAGCGUGGGGAUCAAACAGGAUUAGAUACCCUGGUAGUCCACGCUGUAACUAUGAACACUAGGUAUUGGAGGAUUUGACCCCUUCAGUGCCGUAGCUAACGCGUUAAGUGUUCCGCCUGGGAAGUACGGUCGCAAGCUAAACUCAAAUGAAUUGACGG
rnacentral:rRNA from 1 species